AGGAAGGAGGGAGCCAGCAGAAUCAGCUAUAGUAAUGGCAGAGCAACAAACACUCACAGUCUUUCAAUGCUCAGCCCAGACAGACAGACAAUCUUUCAAUGCCCCUCCAUUUCCCACCGAUGAACAGAAUCCGAUCGGGUGGAAUUGAGUGCACAGAAAGAGGAAGACUGAUUGGUUCUUGCUGACUGUUGCCUCAGCUCCAUGGAUCCUCCUAGAAGUUGAGCCCUCAGCUCCUGGCCUUCACCCCAAGUUUCCUGCCCUCUGAUCUCUGCUACCACCAUAGCUGUGGUCUUUACAUUAGCUGCACCCUGGGCUGUCAGCAUACUCCCUCACUGGCCUUCCACCCUCUGUUGCCCUGAGUGGAUACCACUGAAGUCCUAGGAAGCUAUGAUUGCUUCUUCUCUGUGUGCAUGCACACAAACUUCCCCAACAUGCACGAACCACGUAACAGCAAACAGAACAUACCUGAAAUACUUUAAAGUUAGACUAGUCUAAAGGAACUCCCUUGUCUAAGAUAAAUCAUGCCAUUAAAAAUAGCCUCCCGGGCUGGAGAGAUGGUUCUGUGGUUAAGAGCACUGACUGGGGGCUGGGGAUUUAGCUCAGUGGUAGAGCACUUGCCUAGCAAGCGCAAGGCCCUGGGUUUGGUCCCCAGCUCCAAAAAAAAAGAAAAAAAAAAAAAAAAAAGCACUGACUGCUCUUCUAGAGGCCCUUAGUUCAACUCCUAGCAACCACAUGGUGGCUCACAACUAUCUGUAACGGGAUCUGAUGCCCUCUUCUGGUGUGUCUGAAGACAGCUACACUGUACUUAGAUAUUAAUAAAUAAAGAAAUCUUUAAAAAAAA